CUGCGAAAGCCGGAUUAAUACCGCAUACGCUCUAUGGAGGAAAGCGGGGGACUCGCAAGGGCCUCGCGCUCAAGGGGCGGCCGAUGGCGGAUUAGCUAGUUGGUGGGGUAAAGGCCUACCAAGGCGACGAUCCUUAGCUGGUCUGAGAGGACGGCCAGCCACACUGGGACUGAGACACGGCCCAGACUCCUACGGGAGGCAGCAGUGGGGAAUUUUGGACAAUGGGGGCAACCCUGAUCCAGCAAUGCCGCGUGUGUGAAGAAGGCCUUCGGGUUGUAAAGCACUUUUGUCCGGAAAGAAAACCUGCCUGUUAAUACCGGGUGGGGAUGACGGUACCGGAAGAAUAAGCACCGGCUAACUACGUGCCAGCAGCCGCGGUAAUACGUAGGGUGCGAGCGUUAAUCGGAAUUACUGGGCGUAAAGCGUGCGCAGGCGGUUUGCUAAGACCGAUGUGAAAUCCCCGGGCUUAACCUGGGAACUGCAUUGGUGACUGGCAGGCUAGAGUAUGGCA
rnacentral:rRNA from 1 species